CUUUUUAUAUCGCGCCUUUAUUUUCGCUUUAGGGAACCCUCUAAAAGAUAUGUUCUUCGUCAAUUCGAACCGGACGAGACGGGACGGGACGGGAGAAGAAGGAGGAGAAGGGAAGAGGUAGGUCCUCUCCUGACGAAGUCCAAGAGGAAGAAGGUCCGCGAAAGGAGUGGGGGUUAGCGCCGGUUUUAAGGCCUGGAAAAGGUCGCCGUCUUGGCAACUCACGCCGCCGCCGCUGGCGGAUGGCUCGGUUCUUAGGUAUCCAAAGGAAGACCGCUCGAUCCGGAAGAGGAUCUCCGCAAAGAACCCUCGGUAUAAACCAAGGCCUAGGUACGACCGGCUGCUGUAGAACCCGAGGGGAAAGGGGCGGAUCAUAAUAACAGAAGCGUUCCCAAAGAACCAAGGAGCCUCCAGGAGGUUCAAGAACGGUUAGACCCGUUAGACCGGGGUUGGGGCCCCGCGCCGGCACAAUCCCAAGCCCCCCGACCUACCCCAGCCAGCACCUAAAACACCUCUAGUCGAGGCUGCUCCUCCUGGAAGGGUACGGGUCCUUCGGUCAACUGCUGACCGAACCCUUCGAAAACUUACUACUACUCGGUUUACCUCUGCUAAAGAAACUAGAACACCACUACCCACUCAAGAGCGGCGGUGUCUUCUUCCGGUUGGGACCGCCGCCGCCGCCCCCGCCACCACCACUACUACUCCUACUACUACUAACACACCAAGAUCUACCACUGGGACUCUUCCGCUAAUGGUAGCCCCUCCUGUUCCCCUCACACCCUCUAUCGUCGAGGCUACUUAACGUCUAUCAACCCCUCUUUCCUGGCCAUCGCACGUCCCUGAAGGGAGUAAGUGCGGUAGAUACAAGAUUGAACGGGAAGUCGCGAUGAAGAGUACACUUCGUAACAUCGUACACAGUGACAAAACAUACGCUACGAGGUCGAGGUACAUUAAUAACCCCAUUUCCAUAGGUCGAAUUACUAGUAACAGUACGAUGCCUAUUCCUUAGUUUCACCUUUGUCGACGCCGUUCGUAAGUUCAGAUUUUCAGAAGGUCGUAGAGCAGGUCUUGUUACGGUCUUACGGUAGAUGGGUUGUUACCGUGGUAGGUAAUUCUUCCUAUAUGUCACAGUUCAGAGCAGAAAACGUUUGUCUUCAGGAGAAGACGUACAAUACUCGGUUUUGGUUGUUUCUGUGUGAAGUCAAUCUCAGAGUGACUUACAUCCUGCCUGAUAGUCAUGUGGUUCUCGUAGGGAACGCUGUUUUCGCCACUCUUCAUGUUUGUUACAGGUGUGACGAGUUUUGUAGGUAAGUGCACCUUUGAAGUUUUCUCAUCUAUGUCGAAGAGGUCCAGUGUGUUAGGCUUUACGAUUGGCUAAACCAAGAUCACGAGGUUAGUCAUGGGACAGGGAAUACUUGUUACGUAACGGUGUACAUAGUGUCGGUCAAGUUCGAUAUGGUCCUUGAUUAUGACGAGUACAUAGAGUCGUUCAAGUUGGUGUUCCUUGGUUAGGAAAGUCACCAUGACAGUUCUUUUCACGGGGAGUCUCUAGAGAGUCACGCGGUUAUCGUAGAGUCCCCGUUGUUCCAGUCGACCGUGGUAGAAGAGUCCGACGGAGUUUACAUCACGUACCGCAUCCUGGAGUUGAAAGGGCCACGUGGAGCGAAUACUUACUCUCUUCUGUUAAGGACGGUCUUGGUCAUUAGCUACAAAGGUGUGUUUCGACCGUUCUGUAUGAACGAUCACACCGUAGCCUAGACCCUCAUAACCUACUAAGACGAAUGUUAUGGUCAUGAAGUGUAAGGGUCGUCGGACACUCCUGAAGGGGGGUUGGAGACCUACGGCCACGUUUGGUUCCCCUCCCCCCGGAAGUGCGGCUCAGACAACGCAGUCGCCAUUUGGACUACUGAAGAUUACCCGUACCGAACGGGUAAGUAUGUUGUCCACCACCAUGGGUCUGUUUACGAGGAUUCGUUUGAAACGUAGGAGACUUAAUACCACCGUCAGAAUCAGGUCUACUUCGAGUAGAACUACCAAAAGAUUCGGGGGGACGUCUACUUAAUAACAAUCUUCGACGAGUCGUCUCCCUGAGAAGGCCUAACCUAAGAUGUCCGGAAUAUAAACUGAAACUUGAGCUGCUGACCCGAAUUCGUCGUGAGAGUCUCAGUCUCCGACAGGGCAGAAAUCGUAAACCGCCCGAAGCACCUGUUAUUUUGGCCACUACCAUGAUCAUCGACCAGGCAUCCCAAAGGAAGUGUGCUCUCCACUUCUACAAGGAACAUGUCAUUAAUUGAUCCAACACACCACCUCUAUAAAAGAAUCUACCCAACCACAAAUUGGACAGCCAGUAUGCCCGGAAAAAUAAUCCUCCGGAAUCUACGAUCAUUAGAAACAGUGCGACAUUAUCUUCUCGUCUUAAAGGUGAUGGAUCGACAACCAGUAUAAAGAUACUCGGUAUAUGAUAAGAUCGCGGUUUUUGCGGACAAACACCAUGUACAACAACUAACGGACGACCGUAACACUCCGUAAACUAAUACGUACGAACUAUCAUAAUAAUCCUCUUUUCUCACG
rnacentral:rRNA from 1 species